CCCCCGGUAGCUCAAACGAAUAGAGCAUCGCAUUGACUAGGCGAGGGUUGCGGGUUUGAAUCCCGCCCGGGGGA
rnacentral:tRNA from 1 species